CGAAUAAUUAAUUUUGUUCUUAUUUGUAGGAAUUGAGAGGAGGACGAACAUACACUAGAGGAGAAAUGUAUGCAGUUUCUCAUACAAAGUCUGACGGGUCUUUUGUCAAUGAAGAUGCAUACAGCUAUAAUGAAAAAUUACAAGCUGCAAUUAAGGAUUCCGUGUCUGAAAAUGAGGCAUUUCAGAAAGUAUUUGGAAAAGAGAAGCAUGAAUAUGUUCUUAGUAUGGGACUUGGAGUUACGCCAUCUUAGAUUAAUAGAUCUACGAGAUCGGCAUCCUCUUCAGCGGAAAAUAAAAAAAUAAAGGAAAUGCAAGAAGAAAUUGAUGCACUUAAAGAAAAGAAUUCAAAAAUUGAUGAACUGAUGGAGGCCAUCGCAUUCUUAAGGCAAAGGGACAAUGCUAAGACAAAAGAAAUUGAACUCUUAAUGCAAAUGCAAAAUUCUAGUGGGAGACAAGGAUUGGAAUCACCAGCUGAUGGUAGACGCUCAUCUGAGUCUAGCUACCAUAUUGCAGAUACUGGAACAACAAGAAAGACAAAUUAGACUUUGCUAUGAACUAAUUAGAUUAUGAACUUUCUUAUGUAUUUUGGCAUUAUGAUACUUAUUAUUAUAAGUUUAUGAUUUGAUAUGCUUUUUGGGUUUUUUUGUACCACAUAACUAUGGAACUCGCAUUUUACAUGAUAAUGA